rnacentral:rRNA from 1 species
UACGGGGGGGGCAAGCGUUGUUCGGAAUUACUGGGCGUAAAGGGCUCGUAGGCGGCCAACUAAGUCAGACGUGAAAUCCCUCGGCUUAACCGGGGAACUGCGUCUGAUACUGGAUGGCUUGAGUUUGGGAGAGGGAUGCGGAAUUCCAGGUGUAGCGGUGAAAUGCGUAGAUAUCUGGAGGAACACCGGUGGCGAAGGCGGCAUCCUGGACCAACAC